GGGCUUUAGCUCAGCUGGCUAGAGCAUCUGCCUUGCACGCAGAGGGUCAGGGGUUCGAAUCCCCUAAGCUCC
rnacentral:tRNA from 1 species